GAUGAACGCUGUCGGCGUGCCUAAUACAUGCAAGUCGAGCGAACGGACGAGAAGCUUGCUUCUCUGAUGUUAGCGGCGGACGGGUGAGUAACACGUGGAUAACCUACCUAUAAGACUGGGAUAACUUCGGGAAACCGGAGCUAAUACCGGAUAAUAUUUUGAACCGCAUGGUUCAAAAGUGAAAGACGGUCUUGCUGUCACUUAUAGAUGGAUCCGCGCUGCAUUAGCUAGUUGGUAAGGUAACGGCUUACCAAGGCAACGAUGCAUAGCCGACCUGAGAGGGUGAUCGGCCACACUGGAACUGAGACACGGUCCAGACUCCUACGGGAGGCAGCAGUAGGGAAUCUUCCGCAAUGGGCGAAAGCCUGACGGAGCAACGCCGCGUGAGUGAUGAAGGUCUUCGGAUCGUAAAACUCUGUUAUUAGGGAAGAACAUAUGUGUAAGUAACUGUGCACAUCUUGACGGUACCUAAGCAGAAAGCCACGGCUAACUACGU
rnacentral:rRNA from 1 species